CCCGUGGAUCACCAUCAAGCCAUUCAGAUUAUGCUGAGAGCCACUACUUGACCCUUGAGAGAGACUGACCUGAAAUUUAAAAAAAAAAAUAAGAUCAUCCCCCAGUACAUCAACACAUCUCUCCCCCACUGCCUCCUUGCAAAAUCCACUCCCUGAAACCCCCUUUUCAGCCUUCACCUGAGCUGUGAUCCUCACCAGAGGCUGACCCUUCCCAGUGCCUGCAGAUCAGCUCCUCCAUGCAGCCCAGGACCUCACUCCACACGUCAUCAAACACGAAGAUGAUUAGCAAUAAAACCAGCUACAAAACAUACACAUCUUUAAGCAGUCAGCAGCAGCAAAGAUAUUUCUAUUUACUGACCAGGUCAAGGUAGUCAGCAACGAGCACAGUUAUGUAGUCUUGCUGCUCUGAAUGUACUAUUUUCAGUUAAAAAGGAAAAUAAAGUGUGCUUGUGUUCGAAACUCAGCCGGACAGGAAGGAGUCAGGGCUGCACAUUUUUAAGCAGCAGAGGACAAAGCUGCUUCUCACUGCCUUGUUCCCAGCAGAGAACAAAGUGACCCUCCCACCUCGGUCCAGCCCGGGCUCUCCACAGGUACUCACUCAUCAG